UACGUAGGGUGCGAGCGUUGUCCGGAAUUACUGGGCGUAAAGAGCUCGUAGGUGGUUUGUCGCGUUGUCCGUGAAAACUCACAACUCAAUUGUGGGCGUGCGGGCGAUACGGGCAGACUGGAGUACUGCAGGGGAGACUGGAAUUCUUGGUGUAGCGGUGGAAUGCGCAGAUAUCAGGAGGAACACCGGUGGCGAAGGCGGGUCUCUGGGCAGUAACUGACGCUGAGGAGCGAAAGCGUGGGGAGCGAACAGG
rnacentral:rRNA from 1 species